rnacentral:piRNA from 1 species
UAGGACAAGGGUAGAAGGCAGCCA